GCCAGGUGUGGUGGCUCACACCUGUAAUCCCAGCACUUUGGGAGGCUGAGGUGGGCGGAUCACCUGAGGUCAGGAGUUGGAGACUAGCCUGGCCAACAUGGUGAAACCCCAUCUCUA
ensembl:misc_RNA Metazoa_SRP Metazoan signal recognition particle RNA